AUCGCUUCUCGGCCUAUUGGCUAAGAUCAAAGUGUAGUAUCUGUUCUUAUCAGCUUGAUAUCUGAUACGCUCCUCAUUGAGGAGCCAGAAUAUCGAACUGAUUUUUGGAAUAUGGCGGAGUGUCUGGGGCUUGCUCCGACUCCGCCGCGGGUCGACCUUGCAUUGCAGUACCGCAAGGAACGGCCCACACAAU
rnacentral:snRNA from 1 species